GUUUAAUGUUGACAAUCUGCAUGCAUUGUGUUUUAAAAAAGGUAUAAUCAAUUUUAAAAUGAUAAGAUAUUUAAAUAUUUCAUGGUUCAUAUACAAUCUAUUGUUUCAUUGUAGGUUUUGUAAUAUCAACAGAGAUCCUAUGAGGAAUAACAUGGAAUGAGUUGACAUAAUUGUUUGAGUGCAUAUGACAAGGAUUAAAAAAUUCACAAGAAAAUGUAGGUAUAAUUUUAUCUAUUUGAUCAGGGCUAAUCUGCAGAUCAAUAUCAGAAAAGUUUAAAUCUGUCAAAUUGUGAUUUGUAUAGAUAUAAGGGAAACAGGAUUCUUAAGUGGUUGUUUGGGAGAUACUUUUCAAGUAAGGUAUUCAUUGUUUGAAUAUAAUUAUUGUAAAAUGGUCUUUGUUUUGUUUAGUAAAAUUCCAUUUGUACAUACUUUUAUCCUCUAAAACCUUUUAAAACUUAAAUACAUUAUACAUGUAUGUAGAUACAUUUUGUUGGUUCAAAUAGAUGUAUUUUGCAUAAUAUGAAGCACUGUAAAUAUUCGGUAUCAACUGCAAUUUAAUUUUACAAGAUGAAUGUUUUAAGCAAAUUUUUCAAGCCAGUUUUAUGCUUAAGGAAAAUGAUGUCUGAACAAAAUAUUUUGAUACACUCAAACAUUAUUUGUAAACCAUACAAAUAUUUCAACAAAGAAACUAUUUGUUGGACAAAGAAUUUGGUGGCACAGGAUUUAGAUUUAUAUGCUCUUUCCUUUAAUAUGAUUUUAAAUCCAGAUUUUUUUGGUGGUAAACAGUGGCAAACAAGCUCAUUUUGGGGCCCUUUAUAAUUUGCUGUUUGGUGUGAGCCUAGGCUCCUUGUAAAAAAUAGGCUUGUUGAAACCUAAAAUGGUUUACUUUUAUAAAUUGUGACUUGGAUGGAGAGUUGUCUCAUUGGCACUCAUACCACAUCUUCUUAUAUCUAUCAGUCAAAAAUCUAUAGAAAUAUUAUUACUAAUGUCAUGACUUUUCUUACAUAUGGUAAAGCUUAGCUUUAGUUGUAAUCGUAAUAAGUUUAUUGCAACUCAACAUAUAAAAUAAUGCUAUAGCAUCAACAACAUAUAUAGUAUAGUAAGCGACAUAAUAUAAAUGAAAACAGAAAGCAAAAUAAUAACAAAAAAAACAUAUUAAACAAAUAGUACAGUAUAAUUAUUAUCUACUUUAUCAAGUUAAAUACAUCUUGAUAAUUAACAAAUCAAUGCAGGUGAAAUGAAUGCAGAACAAAAAAAAAAGAACUUCACGCACAGCGUAAACAUCAUUAUAGAUCAGAUUAUCACAUGUUUGUGUGUAAAACAAGAAAUUAAGAUACACAUCUGUAAAAGGCACCCUAUUGCUGUGGUUGCUUUACUUCUCUCAUUGAUUUGCCUAUUAUGGCUUCAGUGUAAAAUUACUAGAAUACAUGUAUAAGCAAGAAAGGAUUGGAAUCUUGAACCAUUGACAGAUGUUAAGUGUACCAUAUGAAUACAAUAUCAGGCCAGGUACUUUUUGUAUAAAAAUGGGGUAUCACUAUCAAUGAAUGGGACAGCAACACUACAACUCAAAAAUAGCAAAAUAAGCCUAGAUGUAUUGUCUUCAGCAUUAUGCCAUCUGAAAUGAUUUGUCAGACAUCUUGUUUUAUAGUAGAAAUUGGUAGUGCAAUCUGGCCCGAGAACACAGUUAUUUCGUAGUACAUUUCUUUUAGACAAUAAAUUAAAAUUAAAAAAAUCGCACCUGCUCUUUCUCAAAAAGAUUUUUACAGCGUAGUGUACUACCAGUGAGACAAAUAAUAUCAAAAUUAUAGAAACUUCUACCAGCUCUAACUCAAAAUAUUGACAAUUCUGUGUUAAGGGGUGUAAAAUUCAGUUUGACAGCUUCAGACGUGAUAAAAUUUGACCUUUUUGAACUGGACUAAAUCACUACUCAACACAAAAAUUCAGCACCCAAAUUUUUUUAACAUGUAAUAAAAUCCCCCCUACUUAAUAUUUUAUGCAUUUAAUAUCAAGAAAUAAAUUGGGAAAGUGCAUCAAAUAAAACAUGCAAGUUAUACACUGUUUACACCAGGGACUAUAUUCAUAGACAACGAAAACCAAAGGACGAUAACUGUUUCCUUGGACCAUCUUUAAAAAAAUAUACUACAUUCUUUGUAUUGUCUUGAUGAUAGAUUUAAAAUAUUUUUCUUAGGAAUUUCAAAGUGCCAUCCCACAUAAAUUGAAUGAGAGUACUUUGGGGGAUUAUUUUUUUAUCAUCAAUUAUAUUUAAAUAAUGAAUGCAACCUUUCUAGUGAUUUUUGACUCAAAAGCUUUCAAGGACCUUUACUUAAACUCGUCUAUUUAAGAACUUAAGAUUUUUAAAGUUUGAUUUUUUCAACACUCAUCUAUUAAAUUACCUUUUUUAACUUAGAAUUUCUGAAGUAAUGUGGUCUUCAUUGUGGUUUAUUUACAUUCAUGAGUGUAAAAUGAUAAAGAUCUAAAAUAAAGUUAUUAAAUUACUGUUUAAUAUGUCAAUUUAUUUAUUUAAUCAAUCUAGAAUGAGGUGUAGAUUUUAACCCAGUAGAAUGAAUUGACAUGUUAAAUGGGGUUGGUUUUAUCAUAUUUUAAUUGUAUAUAUAUGUUAAUAAAAUAGGGUAUAUUUAUGGUUGAAGCCAAUUUUAGGAAGAAGGUGAAAUUUUUUAGGUGGUAAAUGGAAUAUUAAGUGAUAAAUGGAAAAUUAGGUGGUAUAUGUCUCCAUUAGAAUAGAGGUAAUUCUUCUUUAUUAUACUUGUCUAGGUGAUAUAUAUAAGUGAGGACAAUCUAUGGAAAAAAUCCUAAUUUGUUUAAAUCUGGUAAGUGCUAGCAGAAAAUUGAUUUAUUUGACUUGAAACAUUACUUAUUCUUUUAAAGGUAAGCUAAAAUAAAGAUUGUUCCAACAAUAAAAAUUUGAAGUUGUUAAAAGAUUGAGCUAGUUUUACAAAACAUACAUAUUGGGACACAUACUGACUCGAACAACUUAGGAAUUUAAUUGUUGAGAAUUAAAAAAUAAAAAAAAUCUAAGGAUAUGGACUGGUUGAGUUUAAAGAAGCUUAUAAUGUAUUUUUUUUAGAUUUUUUGCUUAUUAUUGUGUGUUUCCUUAGUUUUGUCUUCCAAAGUUUGUGUUUAUAUAUUUGCGCAAAUGUCAGAACUAUUUCUGUAUAUAUAUUAGACAUGUAUAUGCACUUUAAUGAAUGAUAGUGUACCAUGUAUAUUUUGUAAGAUUUGAUUGAUUGAUGAGUUAAUUUAUCUUCAUUUUCUUAAUGCUCAGUCGCAAAUAUUUCAUUAAUUUGUGCAUCCCCACACAGGGCAGGUGCACUCAACUCCUUUAUUUAUGGACUAGGGUUAUCAGAGUUCCUACCAAAGAUCUGUGGUUCUCUCUGGACACUGGCUUCCUCCACAAAUAAAAACUGACUGCAACCAAACAGCACUAUAGUAUUAUCAGAGUUCCUACCAAAGAUCUGUGGUUCUCUCUGGACACUGGCUUCCUCCACAAAUAAAAACUGACUGCAACAAAACAGCACUAUAGUAUUGGAAGUGAUGUUACACACCAAUCAAGAACCACAUAAUUUCUGAAUAUGACAGAGUGCUAGCAUUAAUACAUAUGUGAAUAUAAAAUUGAGGGACAUUAGAGUUAACUUUACUAUAAUAAAAUUAUACGUGUCAAUAAAUAAAUGCUUGUCACUUUUUAAGCAUUUACCUCAAAACAAUAGAUACCUUGAAAUCAAUUUGCACAAUUAUGAUAGAGAUAUAUGUAUCUUGUAAAGCUUAUACAUCAGUAUUUUAUGCAAGUAAGCAUUCUAUUGUCUUAUUGACAUUAUUGUCUCACCUUGACACUACAGUGUAACCAGUGUUAUCAGACACAGAACUCUAGUAUUGUGUCACCUUGAUAUUAUAGUGUAACCUGUGCUAUCGGACACACUGGGGGACCAGAAAAAAAAUGCCAGAUUAAGCAGGGUGUCGAAAUACCCAAGUUUAUUUUCUGUAAGGAUAGGCUUAUUUUGGGACCAUGAUAAUGUGUUGGUUAAAGCAGGAUGUUGGAAUACUCAGAUGUCAGAUUAGGCAGGUUACACUGUAUAUGUACAAUAUGUAUUUAUUUCAAUCUCUCUGCCAAUUUUCACAGUUAAAAAUAAAAGCACUGAAUUAUUUUAAGCUUUGUAUUUUGUUUGUAAUUUUAUGUUCACUUUAAAUGUAUUAAAUGUAUAGUUUUUAUAUCCACAGAUUGUAGAAACAACAGGGAUAUGCGUUAAGAAGAUUAAGGUAGAAAGAGAUUAAUAUCCAGAUUAACUUGUGGCUUUCUGGAUUAACUAAGAUUUUUUUGGAUUAUUGUUUUCCAGUGAGUAACAG
rnacentral:lncRNA from 1 species